ACGGAAGGCAGCAGUGGGGAAUAUUGCACAAUGGGCGAGAGCCUGAUGCAGCGACGCCGCGUGAGUGAAGAAGUAUCUCGGUAUGUAAAGCUCUAUCAGCAGGGAAGAAAAUGACGGUACCUGACUAAGAAGCCCCGGCUAACUACGUGCCAGCAGCCGCGGUAAUACGUAGGGGGCAAGCGUUAUCCGGAUUUACUGGGUGUAAAGGGAGCGUAGACGGUUUGGCAAGUCUGAAGUGAAAUGCGGGGGCUCAACUCCUGAACUGCUUUGGAAACUGUCGAACUAGAGUGCAGGAGAGGUAAGUGGAAUUCCUAGUGUAGCGGUGAAAUGCGUAGAUAUUAGGAGGAACACCAGUGGCGAAGGCGGCUUACUGGACUGUAACUGACGUUGAGGCUCGAAAGCGUGGGGAGCAAACAGGAUUAGAUACCCUGGUA
rnacentral:rRNA from 1 species